UGGGGAAUAUUGCGCAAUGGGGGAAACCCUGACGCAGCGACGCCGCGUGCGGGAUGAAGGCCUUCGGGUUGUAAACCGCUUUUGAUUGGGAGCAAGCUUUCGGGUGAGUGUACCUUUCGAAUAAGCGCCGGCUAACUACGUGCCAGCAGCCGCGGUAAUACGUAGGGCGCAAGCGUUAUCCGGAAUUAUUGGGCGUAAAGAGCUUGUAGGCGGUUCGUCGCGUCUGGUGUGAAAGCCCAUCGCUUAACGGUGGGUUUGCGCCGGGUACGGGCGGGCUAGAGUGCAGUAGGGGAGACUGGAAUUCCAUGUGUAGCGGUGAAAUGCGUAGAUAUAUGGAGGAACACCGGUGGCGAAAGCGGCUCUCUGGUCUGUAACUGACGCUGAGGCUCGAAAGCGUGGGGAGCGAACAGG
rnacentral:rRNA from 2 species